UAAGACUAAUUAACAAUAGGAUGAUUUUAAUGUAAAAGUCUCAUGCAUGUUUGACUAUAUAAUAGUUCUGAUAUGUUGCAUUUCUUUCUUUCACACUAAGUUAAGUAAUAGAUUGAUUAUUGGUUGGUGAUACGUAUUAUGUAAAACCAAAUUCUAACACAAUUAACCCUUAGGCAAUAUAUGCAAGCAGGUUUAUGUUUUGACUUGUGUAGACAUAUAUAUAACAUUAACACGGUACGUAUUUAUAAGUAUACGAUACGUACACAAACCACACAUGUGACACGGACCAACAUGUAUGAAGAAACGGUCCCAUUGAGAGAGAUCUCAUGACUUCAAAUCAAGAACUAGCCCAAUUCCAAAAUGGACACGUAAAUAUGUACAAAGCUUAAUCCCCAUCCCUCUAUAAUGGGUCUACACACAGCCUAGCUUUUUUUGUAUUUUGUGCACUGUUUUUUUUUUUCUAUACUUUUAGUUUACUUUGAUAUUUACUUUGAAAUUUUUUUUUAUAUUCUCACAUUUCGAUUAAUGAGUCUAGUCGCUUCCAUUGAUUCCGUCACGGCUAAUCAAAUCAACAUUAGUUAAACAGGCGAGAAAAAAACAUAUGGGUAUGAAUGGUGAACAGGGAACGGCGAUGAAUAAUGCAUUCCCUAACUUUCAUAAAAAAAAAUCACCAUUAACAAGGAAUAAUAAUUUUUUCUCAUUCCCUUUCAUUAUUUUUUUUGUAGAGAAUUAAAGAACAAAAUUUAUUCCUUGUUAAAAUUGAUAAGGAACAACCAUUCCUUUUCAUUCCUGCUAUUUUAUUCCCAAACAUUCAUUUUUUAUUUGUUCCUCUUGUUUCCCGAAUGGUCACCAGUCAGACCCUUCCAUAUGUUUACAAAAAUGUCAUUUUAAUUGACACCCUCACACAAACUAAUAAAAUAUUAUUUUAGUUAGUAAUUAAAUUCAUAUGUUAAUUAAAAUAUUUCGACAAUCCAGAUUUGAAAUUAUAUAUUUUUAUUAUAUUUAAAAAAAAUAUUUUAUUAAAAUUUAAAAAUAUAUUUCUGUGUAACAAGAAACAAAAUUUUCAAAAUGACAACCUUUAGAGAACAGAUGGAGUAUAAAUUAUUAAUGAAGUUCAUGAAACCUGGUGCCUGCCUAUUCAAGAUGCUGUCUCACAUUCCUAAAUAUUUCAGUAAAAUCCAUUAUAGUAUAUGAUCCCAUGUAAAUUAUUGGUGAGGCUGCUAAAUGCGAGCAAGCAACAUUACAAUUAUGGUGUCACAUCAAACUUGGUUACAGAAACUAUGGGCAUAAUAGAUAUAAUUCUGUCUUAAUGGGCUUGAGUUGAAUCCCAAAUAGACCCAUUAAAUACCACAUGAAUAAAGUUAAAUAAUGGGCUUUCUCAUGAGGUCAUCUUCUCCGGCGAAAAGGAGGAAGGAGAAGAUGACGAAACACACAAGGAUGAACGGAGAGCUUCCCUCUGCGAUUUCGUUCUGCUCCGUUCUCAUUUUUUUUUCUCGUCUUCAGUCAUCUUUCUCCUUGUGUUCUUCUACUUUUCAUCGAAUCCAACAAAGAUACGUUUUCUUAUUUCCGACUUGACUUUUAGUAGCUGAGAAGAUCUCAUUUUAGCUUGUUGGGUUGUUUUUGUAAUGAAAGGACUUGGAGAAACUCAAACUGGGUUCCGUGUUGGUGGUGUGACCAAUAUUGCUAAGAAGAAGAAUGUGUUCAGAGAGACCUUAAAGCUGCUUUUAAAGAAGUGAGUGAGUGGUGUCUUGAAGAUAGCACCAACUGUGUCUGGGAGUAAGAAGACUAAGGAUCAUGUCUGUAGUAGAGGGUUUUCUCUUGUUGAUGUCAAAGGCAAGAUUGAUGCAAACAUGUAGAUUAGCAUUUGUCCAAUCUUUCUCCCUUAGGUUGUAUGUAAGCUAAGCCAAAGAUCUUUUGUUUUCAAAGGUUUUUGGAGCAGUUCACUGGGAAGUGGUUAUAAUUUGGUAAGGUUAUAAAGCAAAUAAAAAUAUCAGGUUGUGGAUUUCUCUCCGAACUAAUCAGCGUCUGAGAAGCUAUACUCAGAUACAGUCUAUGAUGAUCUUCUGUUUUUUUGUUUUUUCUUGAAGCAGUUUCUAAUGUUGAUGUUGUUGAAGAAGAUAUACUUUUGUUGAUUCAUGGGAUGAUUCAGACAAAGAAGUAGAUGAGACACAAGUGGUAGAAUCUCCCAGUGAACUGAGCCGUGAUUCUAAAUCCAAUGUGUAAGGUCUCCGAAACACGCGUGGAUGGGAUGAUGAAUUAAGGAACAUGAUUGAUAGGUCUGCUGUGGAAGAAGUUGCUGAAGAGAAUCUUGAAUCUGUGAACAGCUCAGUGUCAUACUCAGAUGAGCAGCGAAUUGAUAGAAUCCGUAGGCUGGAGAUGAAACAAAUAAGAAGUUUCAGUAUCAACUUAUGCCCAACAAUAGUUUGGAGACAAUGCUCGAGGUUCCAAGAAAACAAACACCCUUGUAUCAAGAAUGUGGAAGUUAAAUCUGAUGGAGUUAUUUUGGUAGCUCCUUGAAAAGACAGAGGACUGCUAUAGCUGUUAAGUUAGAAAGGGAUAACAGUGAUGAGUUGAAGGAGAAGAGAAUCCAGAAGCUCGAGAAGGUCGCAGCACCUUCAGGAAAUGAUGUAUGGAUCGUUCAGAUGGGCGACUGCACCAUCUGCACGUGUGGGGAUUUUCAAAGGUGUAGACGCUCUAGCCGUCUGCAAGAAGCUGAAACUCAACCCUUUGAAGUAUGUAGACGACUGUUACACUUUUGAACUGUAUUACAAAACUUAUGAGGCCACUUUUCCUCCUGUUCCAGAGUUAUCAUCGUGGCCGGAAGCUCACGGAGUUCCGAGAUUGUUUCCUCCACUUAUGUAAGGCUCAACUGUUUAUGGUAUAUGGUUAUGUGUAGUAUCGUGUGACUUUCGGGAGUAGAGGGUUAAUGGUUUCUUUUUUUAAAAGGGAUAGUUGCUGUAACAGAAACAGAAAGGGUGUUGAUGUUUUUUGUAUGUGCAAACCAAUCCGGUACAUUUGUAAACCGUUAGGAAAACAAAUCUAAACAUGAUCGACAAACUGAAUACCACUAAGAAGCUAAUGGUUAUUACA